rnacentral:rRNA from 1 species
GUGGGGAAUAUUGGACAAUGGGCGAAAGCCUGAUCCAGCCAUGCCGCGUGUGUGAAGAAGGUCUUCGGAUUGUAAAGCACUUUAAGUUGGGAGGAAGGGCAGUAAGUUAAUACCUUGCUGUUUUGACGUUACCGACAGAAUAAGCACCGGCUAACUCUGUGCCAGCAGCCGCGGUAAUACGAAGGGUGCAAGCGUUAAUCGGAAUUACUGGGCGUAAAGCGCGCGUAGGUGGUUUUGUAAGUUGGAGGUGAAAUCCCCGGGCUCAACCUGGGAACUGCCUCCAAAACUGCAUGACUAGAGUACGGUAGAGGGUAGUGGAAUUUCCUGUGUAGCGGUGAAAUGCGUAGAUAUAGGAAGGAACACCAGUGGCGAAGGCGACUACCUGGACUGAUACUGACACUGAGGUGCGAAAGCGUGGGGAGCAAACAGGAUUAGAUACCCCGGUAGUCC